AACGCGAAAUAAACGUCGAGCUUCCGUUGCCAAUUCUCGUCAAGGUUCAUCAUCGUUUUGUUCUUCUAUAUAUGUGCGCGCGCGACAAUAGGAAAGAAAAAGAGAUAUAGAGCAAGAAUGAGAAACCGAGAAAUACUUGAAUAUAAGAAGAUAAAAUUGGUCUCUUGAUUAUUCCUUGGGUCUUUAAAGCACUAGCAACCACGCGCGUUUUGAUUCCUUCCGAGAUUAAACGAGACUGUCGCGUUCGACUUUUUUAUUGACGCAGCUUUUAUACCUAUAUCCACAUUAUACGCGGUGCUUAUACAAAUAUCUUACUAUACAUAUAAACCCCGCGUAUAUACGGGGAGGAGGUUAAUCAAUAAGUGGACCAACCGGUAAAGCAAACAGAGGGAUCAAAUUUUAGAAUAUCAUACCAGUGUACGUGCAUCCAAAACUUUGUAGAUUUGAUUCAAAAUUGACAUAAAACAAAAAACAAAAGCAUCAAUUUAAAAACCGAUCAAAGCCUCGCCCGAAGUGAAACUAUGUUAUUAUUGCAACAUAUCUUGGACGUGAACGUUAAGAAUUUUCAAAAUUUAAGCUCGAGCACGUCUUAUACGCCCUUUCAAUCUGACAUGAAGAUACCGAGUCUCUUGAUAGGAAGAAUGAAACUUACCAUCGUAAUCUACCGAACCAUCACCCUUGAUAGGGGGUUGAGGCGGUAGCUUCUUAUUAUCACUUGGACCAGGAGUUUCUGUCGGUGUCUGCAAUCUUUCUGCAUCUCGUCGUCUACUGGAACAUUGUGUAAAAUAAUUCUGACCGCCCAAAGGCGUUGACGGCUCGUCCGCUGCGUCGUAAUAAUCUUCAUCUUCGUCGGACGAUGAGUACGAGAAUUCCGGAACCGGCAAAUCGCGAUCUACGACUGAAACAUUAUUUUUAUAUGAAAUUAUUAUUUUAUGAAUUUUUUCAUAAAACUGACUCGUUUCUUCUGACAUUGUGCCACUUUUUGCAAAAAAUGUUAACCAACCAGCUGAUAGGGAUAAGGAAUUGAUGCGAGGUUCGAGGCACUCGGAGCCCAAUUCGAUGCCAGUCUGUACCGUUAAUUCCGAUUCUCUUGAGGCUACUGUUAAAUAAACGAAAUUUUUAGUAUUA